rnacentral:rRNA from 1 species
UAGGGAAUAUUGGUCAAUGGGUGAGAGCCUGAACCAGCCAUGCCGCGUGCAGGAAGAAGGCCUUCUGGGUUGUAAACUGCUUUUGCCAGGGGAUAAAACGGUCGUGCGCGACUAAUUGAAGGUACCUGGUGAAUAAGCCACGGCUAACUACGUGCCAGCAGCCGCGGUAAUACGUAGGUGGCAAGCGUUGUCCGGAUUUAUUGGGUUUAAAGGGUGCGUAGGCGGCCCUGUAAGUCAGUGCUGAAAUCCCCCGGCUUAACCGGGGUGGUGGCAUUGAUACUGCAGGGCUUGAGUACAGAUGAGGUAGGCGGAAUUGACGGUGUAGCGGUGAAAUGCAUAGAUAUCGUCAAGAACACCGAUAGCGAAGGCAGCUUACUGGGCUGUAACUGACGCUGAUGCACGAAAGUGUGGGGAUCAAACA